rnacentral:rRNA from 1 species
UACGUAGGGUGCUAGCGUUGUCCGGAAUUAUUGGGCGUAAAGGGUACGCAGGCGGUUUUACAAGUCGAAUGUUAAAGAUCGGGGCUCAACCCCGUAAAGCAUUGGAAACUGAUAAACUUGAGUAGUGGAGAGGAAAGUGGAAUUCCUAGUGUAGUGGUGAAAUACGUAGAUAUUAGGAGGAAUACCGGUGGCGAAGGCGACUUUCUGGCCAUAAACUGACGCUGAGGUACGAAAGCGUGGGUAGCAAACAGG